rnacentral:lncRNA from 1 species
GAGUUAAUAGAUCUUGAAAUGAAGACUCACCAUCACCAAUGUGGGGCUUUGUCUUCCAGUCCAUUGCAGGUGUCAGUAGAAGAGAAAGGGAGAGAGAGGCUCACCAUAUGGAAAAUGCAGUUUGGAGCUCCAUCGUAGCAUUCUACUUUGGAUUUCCAAGCUCAAGCCAAUAUGAAUUGAAAAGCAACAACAAAAGAAAACAACGUACUUUCUGCAACAGGGAAGAAAAUUACACCAUCUGUGGAGGAGUACAGAAGCAACUUCAGGGGGAGGUUUAUUCUGGCUCAUAGAUCAAAGGGUAUGGUCCAUCACAGUGGGACUGUUCCCAUGGGAAGAGAAGACUUGCUUGAAUGACAAACGGAAAAUGCUUGAAAUUCCCCUCACAUGAGAUAAUCUAAAGAGAAGACAAAUAAGAUUUUAGGAGUCCACCACAGCAUUCUGGAACCCUGGGAUUUGGGACUGAUAAGAAAGGCACCAGAGCAACAGGGGAGGUUCUAUUUGGGUGGACAGCUAGUAUACUGAUCAACGUGGAUGGGAUGAAGUGUGAACUCCUUUUCAGAGGUAUCAGAAGAUGGGCAUAGUGACAUCUGUAAUUCUAACACUUGGGACAUAGUGACAGGAUAUCAGGAUCUACAAGCCAGCCUCUGAAACACAGGGUUUCUCUGCAUAGGAGAAGUUUGCCCUUAAACCUGAAUCAGAAAUUCAAUUUGGAGACAGCUAAGAACAUUGUAAUUUUGACAAUAUCAUGGCUUGAGGAACUGUGGUGUAAUCUGUUGUCUCUCACCUGACGAUCACAUCAAAAUGGAAUAUAUUCAUCUGCCCCAAUUUUGCAAAGAAACCAGGAGUCAACUUCAAAGGAGGAGCUUCAGGUACAGAAGAUAAAGAAGUUAUCACAGACAAGAGAACGAGCUGGAAUGAUGGAGUAUCAAACAAGCGUGAGAUUUAGUUUCAGCAAAUCAUGGAUCAUUCACAGAUUAUGCAUUAUCACGCUGAUCUUCGCGCGGAAGUGGAAGCUCAACGCUUUUGUGAAAACUCGAGUGGAAAAGUGUUUCUGUGUCACAAAUUCAAUGAGAUGUCAAGUCUGCACUCGACAAGUGAAAGUGAAAACGAGAGACUCAUGAGAAUGUAAAGAUUCAGGAGGCCAAGCGCUGAGCCUAGAAUGGAUUGCGCAGCAUACUG